rnacentral:rRNA from 1 species
UAAAGGUGAAGCCUGCCCAGUGACAAUUUGUUCAACGGCCGCGGUAUCCUAACCGUGCAAAGGUAGCGCAAUCAAUUGUCCCAUAAAUCGGGACUUGUAUGAACGGCUUAACGAGGUCUUAACUGUCUCCUACAGAUAAUCAGUGAAAUUGAUCUUCCUGUGCAAAAGCAGGUAUAACCCCAUAAGACAAGAAGACCCUGUGGAACUUUAAAAUCUGCAACCACUCCCAUAAACAACUCUCACCCACAGGGCCUACUCCCCCGGGAUACCGCUGGUUUGCAUUUUUUGGUUGGGGCGACCUUGGAGACAAACUCAACCUCCAAAUAUCAGACAAUCCAUCUUAACCAAGAACUACCCAUCAACGUGCUAAUAGUAACCAGACCCAAUAUAAUUGAUUAAUGAACCUAGCUACCCCAGGGAUAACAGCGCAAUCUCCUUCAAGAGCCCACAUCGACAAGGAGGUUUACGACCUCGAUGUUGGAUCAGGACAUCCUAGUGGUGCAACCGCUACCAAGGGUUCGUUUGUUCAACGAUUAA